rnacentral:rRNA from 1 species
GACGAACGCUGGCGGCGUGCUUAACACAUGCCAGUCGAACGGAAAGGCCCUGCUUUUGUGGCGUGCUCGAGUGGCGAACGGGUGAGUAACACGUGAGUAACCUGCCCUUGACUUUGGGAUAACUUCAGGAAACUGGGGCUAAUACCCGAUAGGAGCUCCUGCUGCAUGGUGGGGGUUGGAAAGUUUCGGCGGUUGGGGAUGGACUCGCGGCUUAUCCGCUUGUUGGUGGGGUAGUGGCUUACCAAGGCUUUGACGGGUAGCCGGCCUGAGAGGGUGACCGGCCACAUUGGGACUGAGAUACGGACCAGACUCCUACGGGAGGCAGCAGUGGGGAAUAUUGCAGAAUGGGCGGAAGCCUGAUGCAGCGACGCCGCGUGCGGGAUGACGGCCUUCGGGUUGUAAACCGCUUUCGAAGGUGACGAAGCGUGAGUGACGGUAAUGGGUAAAGAAGCACCGGCUAACUACGUG